AUCAGCUCCGGCUAUGGUGACUCUGGCUGCCCUCAUGGCCUUCUUCCCCGCCCCCACCUCCAGAGUUGCACACAUCUGAGAGGCCGCCGACAGCACUGGCUAGGAAAUUCCUCCUCACCUCCGCCAGGCCUCUCCUUUGGGGCACUUAUGGGCCGUGUUUGGUGUUUAUCACUUACGUCUGUGAAUCUUCAUCUCUGAUGAAUGUCUGUCACCAUCAAAACGUUCUGAUGGACACUCCUAUACUACAGGGUCAGAGGGAUUCUGGGAUGGUGAACAUAUCCAUGUCAACAGAGGGAUGCACCCAAGAGCUGCAGGGACAGAAGCUCCUGCACUUGGGGCCCCUCCAGAUCUUGCCCUAUGUAUCUGUUCAUCUGGCUGUUGUUUUGCGUCCUUUAAAAUAUUCUUUGUAAAUCAGCAAAGGAAGUGUUCUAUUGUCCUGGGUCCUAUGAGCCCUGCAGCAAAUUGUAAACCCAAGAAGGGAGUAGUAGGACUCCACUUCCCCACAUCUGGUGUCAGAAAUAAAAUAAUGAGAGUGGUGUAAACACAGAAAGAAA
ensembl:lncRNA